rnacentral:rRNA from 1 species
CUAUACGGCGAAACUGCGAACGGCUCAUUAUAUAAGUUAUCGUUUAUUUGAUAGCACCUUGCUACUUGGGUAACCGUGGUAAUUCUAGAGCUAAUACAUGCUAAAAAUCCCGACUUCGGAAGGGAUGUGUUUAUUAGAUUCAAAACCAAUGCCCUCUGGGCUCACUGGUGAUUCAUGAUAACCGCUCGAAUCGCACGGCCUUGCGCUGGCGAUGGUUCAUUCAAAUUUCUUCCCUAUCAACUUUCGAUGUUUGGGUAGUGGCCAAACAUGGUUGCAACGGGUAACGGAGGGUUAGGGCUCGACCCCGGAGAAGGAGCCUGAGAAACGGCUACUACAUCCAAGGAAGGCAGCAGGCGCGCAAAUUACCCAAUCCCGACACGGGGAGGUAGUGACAAUAAAUACCGAUAUAGGGCUCUUUUGGGUCUUAUAAUUGGAAUGAGUACAAUUUAAAUCCCUUAACGAGGAACAAUUGGAGGGCAAGUCUGGUGCCAGCAGCCGCGGUAAUUCCAGCUCCAAUAGCGUAUAUUAAAGUUGUUGUGGUUAAAAAGCUCGUAGUUGAACCUUGGGCCUGGCUGGCCGGUCCGCCUCACCGCGUGCACUGGUCCGGCCGGGCCUUUCCCUCCGCGGAACCCCAUGCCCUUCGCUGGGCGUGGCGGGGAAACGGGACUUUUACUUUGAAAAAAUUAGAGUGCUCCAGGCAGGCCUAUGCUCGAAUACAUUAGCAUGGAAUAAUGAAAUAGGACGCGCGGUUCUAUUUUGUUGGUUUCUAGGACCGCCGUAAUGAUUGAUAGGGACAGUCGGGGGCGUCAGUAUUCAACCGUCAGAGGUGAAAUUCUUGGACCGGUUGAAGACUAACUACUGCGAAAGCAUUCGCCAAGGAUGUUUUCAUUAAUCAGGAACGAAAGCUAGGGGAUCGAAGACGAUCAGAUACCGUCGUAGUCUUAGCCAUAAACUAUGCCGACUAGGGAUCGGGCGAUGUUAUUCUUUGACUCGCUCGGCACCUUCCGAGAAAUCAAAGUGCUUGGGCUCC